rnacentral:lncRNA from 1 species
AGGAAGGCCUUCAAUAAUGCCCUCUAAGGCUUGGUUCCAUAUAACAAAUAUUACACAAAUUCUGAAAGAAUCAAAGUGUUGAACAAGCAUAUUAUGGGCCUUAAUUCAUCACCACUAUUAGCACUAACAACAAAAGAUUGAACCCUAAACUUAUUCAUGAAUUAUCUUGAACUUAAAUAUACAAAUGCUUUAACAGAUGUUGGAAUUUGAGAUGCUUUAACACUAUCCCUUAUAGUACACAUCCAGCCCCAAAAGUUUCUAGCAAGAAUGUCUUCAACGUUGAGGCCCUAAUGAGGCCAUUCUCCCUCUAAUUCACAUAUGGCAAAACAAUACAUAAAUUCUGAAAAUCAAGGUACAUAACAACCACAUUAUAAACUUUACUUCUCUGUCCUACAAUUAGUAAUAAUAGUAUGAACCUAGAUUUUAAACUACUCAUUGAUCAUACUAAUUUUACAUAUGUAACUACUCUAACAAUGAUGAGAUUCUAAACAAUUAAGCUGAAUGUAUUCAGCAGCCAGAUAAUGCCUUUUCCAACAUGCAUGAUACACAAGUCAACAUUCUUUAACACAAAUGAGCUAGUAGAGUUGUCUACCAACUUGAAAUUCUAAACAGUUCAUGAAAAGAUGAACUAAUUUAAACAUUAAUAUAUGAAAUUCCCCCACUAAGCUAUUGACUAUCAAAUAGAUCCCAAAAUAAUCAUAAAAAAAGCUGAGGAAACUAAACUAACAAAAAGUUAUGUAACUCAGAAGAAACACAUGUAAAAGAAAACUGAAAUUCAACAUUUCAAACAUUAGCUUCAUAUUAAAAAUACAUAUUUCAAAGGAAAAGGCAUUGCACUUCAAUGGUUAACAUAGUCCAAGAGAUACCUGAUGAUAAAGAGAAAAAUAAAGUAAUAAGAUAAAUCGACAAAGAACAGCAAUCAGAAAAUGGAAUCAACAGCAGGGACACAACAGUAGCACAGCUCCAAACUUAAACCAUGUUUAAACCUUUGAAAAAAUAGAAAUUCCAAGAGAACUUGUUCUGAUUUUUGUGAAAAUCAGAAAAAUAGAUCAGCUACUAAUGGAAUAGUAGAGCUGAAUCUUUUGGGUAUUUUUUAGGGUCUGAAAUCUCUAUAUGCAGUUGUGAGUGAAUAUCCAGCCAUUUUUCUUUUUUUGUCUCUUAG